rnacentral:rRNA from 1 species
AACGAACGCUGGCGGCAUGCCUAACACAUGCAAGUCGAACGAGACCUUCGGGUCUAGUGGCGCACGGGUGCGUAACGCGUGGGAACCUGCCCUUAGGUUCGGAAUAACUCCCCGAAAGGGGUGCUAAUACCGGAUAAUGUCUUCGGACCAAAGAUUUAUCGCCUUUGGAUGGGCCCGCGUUGGAUUAGCUAGUUGGUAGGGUAAAAGCCUACCAAGGCGACGAUCCAUAGCUGGUCUGAGAGGAUGAUCAGCCACACUGGGACUGAGACACGGCCCAGCCUCCUACGGGCGGCAGCAGUGGGGACUAUUGGCCAAUGGGCGAAAGCCUGAUCCAGCAAUGCCGCGUGAGUGAUGAAGGCCUUAGGGUUGUAAAGCUCUUUAACCCGGGAUGAUAAUGACAGUCCCGGGAGAAUCAGCUCCGGCCCACUCCGUG